rnacentral:rRNA from 1 species
AUUGAACGCUGGCGGCAUGCCUUACACAUGCAAGUCGAACGGCAGCGCGGGCUUCGGCCUGGGCGGCGAGUGGCGAACGGGUGAGUAAUACAUCGGAACGUGCCCAGUAGUGGGGGAUAGCUCGGCGAAAGCCGGAUUAAUACCGCAUACGACCUGAGGGUGAAAGCGGGGGAUCUUCGGACCUCGCGCUAUUGGAGCGGCCGAUGGCAGAUUAGCUGGGUUGGUGGGGUAAAGGCCUACCAAGGCCGACGAUCUGUAGCUGGUCUGAGAGGACGACCAGCCACACUGGGACUGAGACACGGCCCAGACUCCUACGGGAGGCAGCAGUGGGGAAUUUUGGACAAUGGGCGCAAGCCUGAUCCAGCAAUGCCGCGUGUGUGAUGAAGGCCUCGGUUGUAAGU